rfam:Triticum aestivum genome assembly, contig: Triticum_aestivum_CS42_TGACv1_scaffold_394311_5AS
ACAAUACUCCCUCCAUCCCGAAUUAUUUACCUCAGAAAUGUAUAAAAUUGAUGUAUCUAAAACUAAAAAUAUGUCUAGAUACAACCAUUUCUGCGACAAGUAAUUUGGGAUGGAGGGAGUAGUAU